UCUGUGCAGAUCGCAGCCAUUCAAUGGGAGUUAGAUGAACAAAUUCGUAGCAGUAAUUCUGAUCAACCUAGUCCGGAGGAUUGUCCUCACGAUAAAACUUUCGUUCCAGUUCAAUUUCGUGAUAGGUUAAUCACAUGGGCUCACUCCGCAUUGACUUCUGGCCAUCCUGGUGUAACUCGCACUUUACAGCUCCUCUCAGCGCGCUAUUGGUGGGAAACCAUGCGCGCUGACGUACAUACUUUCGUUACCUCCUGCUCCGUCUGUGCGCAAUGCAAAACACCCAAAACUCUUCCAGUCGGUAAGCUGCUCCCACUUCCUGUACCCGAACGACCCUGGUCGCAUGUAGCUGUUGAUUUUGUUACCGACUUACCUGUAUCUGAUGGUUACACUACUGUUCUUACUAUUGUAGAUCGUUUUUCUAGAGGAGUUAAGUUUAUUCCUUUCCCUGCUUUACCCACUGCUCUGCAGACUGCUCAGGCUAUCUACACAGCAAAAUCUGUAGUGUGAAAUUGUGUUACUUUUCCAGUGUAAAUUAUUUUGUGUUGACGGGUGUUAAUUUUGGUGUUGUUUGAACACCAGCAGUGUUGAAAAAGCUCUGGGGGCGGUGCUCCAUAAACGAGUUGACUGCCUACACUUUUUCCUGAGUUAUUCCUACAUCCGGUUUUAUCGCGCCCAUUUUCUCGGAGGCCUGUGUGGCAGGUGGAAGACCUAUCUGCAAGUUCGAAAGGUUCUGAGACAUGCCAUUAUGUUGCUGAAGGUGAGAUACCAUGGUACCAAGAAGUAUAUCUGAUUGCCCUCUGAUUUCACCUAUUUGGAUUUUAUCAGUGAAGUCAAAAACAAGUUUGGGAUUCCCAGUGCAUCCGAACUGUACAUUUUUGAUGAAAGUAACACAGCCGUGGAGGAAGACAUCCUUCUUGAACUGAUGGAGGCCAAUCCUGACUUAUGUCUGACAGUAUGUGACGGCGAGUCUGAUGAAGUCAUGCUGCAGCAUUGAUGAACAUCUGCGAGGAAGAGAGGGCAAACAACCUUACAUCCUUGCUGUUGGCCGGGCUCAGAAGAGGGUCGACACAUUCUACAUCGUUGUGGACAAGCAGCUGAUCCCCUGCCAAGCCACCAGAUCCUUGGGUGCCUUUGAUGAGCUCUUCAAGUCUCACUAUGUGUUCAAUGUUUCUUAUGAUGGUUCCCUGGUCCAUUUCUACACAUUUGUGCAGACAACAGUCUACAGCAUUGACAUCACAACAACAAACGAGUCUCCAAGAGUUCGUGAGUUUCGGGCAAAGCUUUUCAACUAGGUUAAAUGUUUAAAUGUUUCAUUUGUCAGGCUUAUUCUACUAACUGGGUCAAAAUCAGUGGGACAGAGUACAAAGUUGGACUGAUCAUUUGCAGUGAGAUUGCAAACGAAAUGCCUGUGUUUUGCAGAAUACAGAAGGUUGUAUUAUUCAGAGGUAUUAUCUACUUCCUAGUGGACAACCUGGUGGUUGACCAUUUCAGUGAGCAUUUUCAUGCCUACAAAGUAUUUGAAAGUGAUGAGAAAGAUGUGAUCAAAGCAGACAGUCUUGUUUAUUAUAAGCCCUUCGAUAUACAAAGUGCCUAUGGUGAAGAUGAAAGCCUAUAUAUUGUACCCCUGUUUUCUUUGUAACUGUGCUCAUGUUUAAGUUAAGGUGCUUGGACAAUUUUGAGUAAAGAUUUUAAAAUGA